ensembl:lncRNA
GUGACCCGGCGCCGCCUCAGCCGCGUGGGGGCGAUGCCCGGGGCAGAGAGCCGUGUAGACGCUGCUGGCGGCCGGCUUCUCUCUUCCUGAGCUAAUGAUGAGCUUUGACUUAUGAGCGUUUUUUCUCGUUCAGAGUCUUAGCAGGCAGAAGAACAAAGCCAUUCACUCGAGCCUUGCUUGGGCACCUUCUGGAUCAGGCCCUGAGGAGCGGGCAGAAGGAGAGCCAGGACUGCAAACAUGGGGACAGGAGCCUGUCAGGAGGAGGAGGAGAACCAGCCGCGCUGGGUGACAGAAGGACAGUGGAUGGAAUGACAAGAAGAGCAGCCUUGAGAGGUGCAGUGUGGUGCUGGCGGUCCCAGAGCUUGGGUCCUUUGCCAGGUCAACAUUUGUGGCCUGCAGGGCAGGGUUUGGGAGCAGAUGCAUGCCCAGGUGUCUGAGAGCUCAUGCCCUCCCCUAAGCCAGGGACCCUCCCAGGUGGUGAAUCCUGAGGGAGUAGGAACAAUUAAAGCUUACAGAGAAAUGACAAGUCACCAAUAAACCUGUGUAUGUCUCCACAUCAGAAACCCCAAGAUGGAAGACUAGGGAGCAGAGCUGAUUCCCAAGCCCAGAGUUUUGGGUGGCCAUUGGGUUUUGUGUCCACUUGCUUGGAGCUCAGUGAUAGAUAUCCACCCCAAAAGAGGAAAGGACUGUUCCACAUAACUGGGACAUCCGAGGAAUGCUUCAGGCAUAGCUGGAUCCAGGCAUUCAAAUAGUGUUAUCAGAACUUUGCUUCCAUUUCUUACCAUGUACUGGCUUUGUUUUCAGAAAAGGAUGGGCCCCAGCAGCUCUGGACCCCCAUAAUCCCACAGGAGAGAGCAGCCCUCUUUUUCCUGGUGUCUAGCCUGUCCCUAAAAGGCCCUUGGGUUGGCCUGAGGGAAGAUCUCGAGCAGGCCAAGGGAAGGGCUCAGUGUCACUGCAUUUAUCCGACUCCUGAGGAAACAAGGCACGUGGGAAUUCCAUAAAGUCCAAAGAGCUCUGAGCCCUUUGUCCGUAGGACUGUUUUCAUGCCACUGUCUCUAGGUGUGUCUCACAGGGCACAUCCCGCUGACCUGAGUUGCUCGUCAUAUCCACCCUCUGCAGUUCCCCGCUGUGUUCAGCAGGGCACUUGGGGCUUGGGUGGGGACCAGAGGGAUAUGUGUCGUGUCCUCCUGUCCCUCUUCAGGCUGUCAAGUUUCACCUGUACUUUCCCUUCCCAUUGAUCCAAGUUGUAAACUAAGAAACAAUCAUUCAGAAAAGACACUUGAACUUAUUAAAUCAAUGGCUGUUUCCCCAUGGGCUGCCCGGUGAGUGGGGAUCCCGUGUGGCUCCGCUGUGAAGUCAGAUGGGCUUUGUGACAUCUCCCUGCCAACUCAAGCUUCUUUUCUUUUGCUUUUGCUUUGUGUCUAAGAGGUUGGGGUGAAAAUCAUUCCACAGAUAAAGAAAUCUACAAGCCCAGCUGUGGUGUGAGAAAAAAACGUAUAAGCUGUCUCUUGCAGAAGGAAAAGAUGGAAUCAGAAAUAGGAGAUUUUCCUUUGAGGGUGAAAGUCAGCUUUAACCAGUAAAUUGGUGUGCUAGCUAGAUGUGUUAAACAAAGAAAGGAGUUGUUUUUAAUUGCAAAGAAAUGCAUUUUUUUUCCCUCUCAACACUAAACUUAGUGGUUUUUGACUUUAUGUUACCCGAGGAGAAGGAAAAAGCCCUGCUUGUUCCUAAAAAUGGUGAGUUCCUGUAUCUCAGCUUUCUACGAGACAGGGUGCAGAUGGCGAGUCCCAGCCGCCAAGGCCAGGCUGUCGGGGAGCCUUUUCCCCAAGAAGGGAAGGAUUCCUGGAAGCCUGGAACCGAGUGCUGGUGAGCCGCAGGCUUGCUUCAGAGAGAAUUUCCGGGGGCCACUUGAGAGCGACAGCCGUGGCUGAGGGAAAGCCUGCUUCUUGGGUGGCUGGGAGCCCGGUUGGGCCCUCCACAGGGACCGGGGAUGCCGCAAGUGAAACAGCACAUAAACCUUGACCAGCUUAAACUAGUUUUGCUUCCUUAAAACAGGUUAUUUUAAUCAAACCAUGCUCAAUAACAGACGGCACUGCACAUGUGCCAGGCGGGAACCUAUAGCCCCAGGUGACCCCGGAACCAAGAAUUUUCCUCCAGUCAGGAAAAUCUGGCUUCCAGCAGCCCAGAUAGCUUGAUUAUCAUAUAGAGACUGACCUGAGACUAGCCAGUCAGCUUACCUGGGUCCAGCUAUAGCUUAGUUUCCCCUAACUCCUGAAAUUUCCCCCUGAACCUUGGACUGGGGGUCAGAUUCGAGAGCCUUGCUGUCUCCUUGCUGGUCAACCUCGCAAUUAAGCUUUUUCUUUUCUCAAAAGCCAGUGUCAUAGUAUUGGCUUCUAUGCGUAUUGGGUAGUGAGCCCUUGCUGGGUAACACGUGGUUCCAGACUGCUACCCCGCCCAAGGUCUAGCCCUGGGAAGCUGCCAGGGGGACCAGAGCCAGGCAGCUCCCUCACCUUUUCACCCAAGUGAGGAUACCACGAAAAGACGGCCAUCUAUGGACCAAAAAGUGGUACCUCAUCAGAACCCAACCCUGCCAGUGCCCUGAUCUCAGACUUCCAGCCUCCAGAACUGUGAGAAAUAAAUGUCUGUCGUUUACAAGCCUCCCGGUCUACGUUAAUUUGUUGUAACAGCUCAGCUGACUAAGAGAGCCAGGGUUACUCCUUUCUCUUCUAUUUUUAUCCUUUUUUCCAAUUAUAAAAGUUAGCCACCCUUGUUAGAAAAAAGUGUAAACUUUACAGACAUUUAUGAAGAGCCCCCAUACAAUGCCUCCUCUCCAGUUCCGGAGAUAACCUUCGUUAACAGGUGAAACUUCCUCAGCAAGUUCUCUAUGCUCAUACAAAGGCAUCGCAAACAGAUAAGUCCAUUUGAAAAUCCGGACUUGAGGAUGAUAAAUUCAAUGCUAUGUGUUUUUUACCACAAGAAAAAAACAAUUGUAUCAGUCAUAAGGAAAUAAAGAUACUAUAUUUUCUUGCCAACAAGACAGCAAUAACAACAAUAGCAAAGAAUGGAGCUGUUUUAUGAUAACACUCGCUGAAGGCUUGCCACGUGCUUUCUGUGGAUUUACUCAUUUUAACAUCACAGUGAUCCUAUUGACCCUGUCUUAGUCAGCUAGAGCUGCCACAGCAAAAUACCACAGGCUGGGGGCCGAAACCACAGACGUUUACUCUCUCCCAGUUCUGGAGGCUGGAAGUCCAAGGUCAAGGUGGCAGCAGGGUUGGAUUCUGGUGAGAGCUCCCUUUCAGUUUCCGAUGGUCACCUUCUCCCUGUGUGCUCACGGCACCUCUUCUUUGCGUGAGCACAGCAGGGGGUUGGAGGGGAGAGAGAAUGAGAGAGCCAGAGAGGAGAGCACAAGCCCUCCUUUGUCUCUUCCCAAAGGGUGCUAAUCCCAUCCUGGGGCCCCACCCUCAUGACCUCAUCUGACUGUAAUCACCUCCCAAAGGCCCACCUCCUAAUACCAUGCCGUUGGGGGUAUAUGAAUGUGGGGAGGAUAUAAUCCAGUCCAUAGCAGGCUUGCUGCUAUCACUCUUCCAUCUUAGAGAUGAGGAAGUGGAGGCACAGAGAGGCAAAGCCACCGGUUCAAGGUCCCAGAGUGCACAGUGGACUCAGCUCAUGGCUGGGACCCGGCCCCAGAGCCAGCUCGGAGCCUUGGCCCUGCACUACCUACCGCACAUUUCUCUUUCUCCACUUAACGGUCAGGUCUUGAAGGACCUCCUGUCACCACGACUCACCUGCACUGUUCUCUUGACCGUGUAUCACAGCCAGGCUGGGUUCUCAGCAGUUUGUCCCUUGUGUCCGUAUUCACAGAGAGUGGAUCAUUUCUAGUUUUCCCCCGUUACACAGAGCACUGCAGCCAACAUCCUUGUACACCUGAGUUUGCACACUUGUGUGUUCUUCUGUGAGACAAAUUUUAGCAGCAGAAUUGCUGAGUCAAAAGGAUUCAAAAGUUUUAAUUUCACAUUUUUUUGCUCACGUCCUCUGAGAGGGCAGAACUGCUUUACUCCCAUGUGAGAACGUGUUUUCCUGACGCCUGGCCCAGCUCCAAGCAUUGUCCCUCUUUUUAGUCUUUGCCAGUCUGAUGAGACCAAAGAGGGGACCGACCCCUUGGGGUUUGCCUUGGCCUUUCUUUUGUGGUUGGACGUUGAGUGUGUCUUCAGGCUUCCUGGCCAUUGUACUUCCGGGAACUGCCAGUUACUGAGCUCUGCUCUUGGAUUUGUCAUCUUUUUAAAACUGAUCUGCAAGAGGUCUUUGUGUGUAUAUAUAUAUAUAUAUUUUUUUUUAUUUUGUUUUUUUUGAGGAAGAUCAGCCCUGAGCUAACAUCCACUGCCAAUCCUCCUCUUUUUGCUGAGGAAGACUGGCCCUGAGCUAACAUCUGUGCCCAUCUUCCUCUACUUUAUAUGUGGGACGCCUACCACAGCAUGGCAUGCCAAGCAGUGCCGUUUCUGCACCCGGGAUCCGAACUGGCGAACCCAGGGCCGCCAAAGCGGAAUGUGUGAACUUAACUGCUGCGCCACCAGGCCAGCGCCAAGGAAGCCUAAGAUGAGGACAAGGCAGAAGGAGGAAGAGAAGUGAAAAGGAGGAGGCGAGGAAGAAGAGCGAGAAGGAGGAGGAGGAGAGCAGCGCCCUCGGAUCCCAGGCUCAGAGGCCCCGCCUGGCCGGUUCCCUUCCUGGCGGCAUUGGUGACACCUUUGUCCUUCUGGUGCAUUUCAAACUUCUGAGGCAGCUCCAGAAUUGUUGGGUAGGUAGCAAGUUUGGGGUUUUUAUCCUUUUCCUCCUAAUUGCAAGGCCUGUGAGAACAGUUAGCAGUUGCCAUCUGCACAGUAUUCAUUAUCCUGCUGCAGCGGGGGAAAAUGAGUAAUUUUAGCACAAAAUGUAGAACUGCCCUGAAAUUCAAAUUGCAGUAAGUUGACAAGAGUUAUGAUGUUUGUGGAAAAGCUCAUCUAGGAGGCUAAAGGGACCAUGCGGGGAGCAGCAGCCUCACCACCGAGAAAAAUGGCUGCAGUCAGAGGCGGGCGAGGCCUGGGGCGGGCCACUGCCCACUCUGCCCAGAGUGCCAGGGCCGAGGCUGCUUGGCAAUUUUCCCUUCACCCUCUUGCUCUUGACCAUAAAACAAGGCGGAGGAAGCAGGAGGCUGGGGAGCACCUCCGCAAAUAAAGGAGUGAGCAUUCCAGAGAGCAUAGCUGACGAGGCAGAAUUCUUGCCAAGUGAGUUGACUCUGCAUUGAAGGGGAGGUUUCUCCUGCCUUCUGGAAACAGGAUAUUUUCUUAAAGGGGUCACCAAGAUCACCCCUGAUCAGUCCACAAACAAUGUACCUGGGCCUUCAGCCCGUGGCCUACUCCCAGGCCCAGAGGAACGAAUGUCCCGGCAGCAGGAGGAAAGGAACAUGUCUACAGAUACCAGUUGUUCAAAUAAUAGCAAAGAUGGAAAUGCAGCUGCCAAUGUACAAACUGACAACUACCCUAAACACUCUUUUUGGCUCUAGUAACUUGUAAGUCCUUCCUUGCCCUCAAGAAUAAAACCAUUUAGGUUCUGCAUUCUUUGUG